rnacentral:misc_RNA from 1 species
UACGGAGGGUGCAAGCGUUAAUCGGAUUUAUUGGGCGUAAAGAGCGCGUAGGCGGGGUGGAUAGUUAGAUGUGAAAGCCCGGGGCUCAACUCCGGUUCCGCAUCUAAUACUACCAUCCUCGAGGAUGGACGGAGAAAAGGGAAUUCCACGUGUAGCGGUGAAAUGCGUAGAUAUGUGGAAGAACACCAGUGGCGAAGGCGCUUUUCUAGUUUAGACCUGACGCUGAGGCGCGAAAGCAAGGGGAGCAAACAGG